CUUACUAAGGGCUUCUAACAAGCAGGAGUAUCAUUUCAAAGUGAAUGCUAACAAGAUUGACUAUAUUUUCAGAAUAAAGUAAGGCUUUGCUUCAUAACCUUUUCUUUCCCUUCUGUAUAUAAAGCUGAGAAAACAAACAGAAGAAAUGCUGAGAGGCACAAGUGCUACGGAAUGCUCUAGGUGGUCAAGGACUAUUAUAACCUGAGUCAGGCUUCCUUCACCGUGGACACAUACCAUCGGUCUACACUAGGACCUGCAUGGGAUGCUCGGGGAGCCUUCAGCUCAGGAGCCUGUUAACACUGACGACUGCUCGGAGGGAUAAACGCAAGGCCACUGCAGGAACUGGGGUGCCACAAGGCCACUGCGGGAACUGGGGUGCUGCCGGACUACUACUUUGAACCACACAAGUCUGAGAGAAAUUAAAGUAUAACAGUCCCAGACUCCUAGACAGUAGGGACCAAAGACUCCCUGUUCUUCAUGACCACCUAGUAACAAAGUUGGAAAUGGUAAGCCUUAAAUAAUACAAUUGUGAAGACAGACUACAGCUGGAGACCUCUGGGGUUCAGCUUUCGAUCACUGAUGGCAGAAAUGGCCGAGAACAAAGUCACACCAGUUUAUAUGUCCUCCUGUAGAAUGCCAUCAACUGACUGCUGACUCAUUUUGACUCAGAUCACUUUAAGUCAGCGUGGCUUCCCCAGACUGCAUCUAGCAAAAUGAAGUAAAUGGUAAAGGGCUUGUAUUAUGAGGAACCUUACAGGGUGGGUUGUUUCCUGGCUUCUUUGGGGGUAUAUUCCUGAAAAAGAAUGCUUCCAUUUCAAAUGCUCGUGCACACACAUAUGCCUGGACACACACAGCAGUCAAACAAUUGCCUUGUUAUUUAGUGUCUCAGAAAAGAUCAAAGGGAUGGAGGUGGGACAUUGUAAUGUCUAGGAAAAACUCCUUGUCUGGCCUCUGCCUCUGUCUGGCCCACAGGUACCAGUUGUGACUCUAGUCUGUGCCCUACUCUCUGCUCCUCACUACAGAACCCUUCCCCGAUAUGCACUGGCUCAGGGUCUCCCACAUGUUGGUGCACGACUAUCUGCAUUCUCUUCUAUCUCUGCCUUUCUCUCUCAGCUGCAGAGUUCAU